GGAAAAUGCGUAGGAUGAGUGCGUGAGUGUUCACUUUAUUCUGUGUGUAUGCAUAUAAGACGACCUUGGGUUCCCCCCGCCGACCGUGUAAGUGCCUGAGCAAAUGCUCGUUGGAGGUCGCUGUGUUCAAUAGACAUCCAGCGCAGUUUCUCGCGCACGGCUGAAAUCGAUUUGUCUGCAAGAUCGGAAACGUUGAAAAGCCAAAUAAAAUUCUGUGACAAGCGUCUCCACACUUGGGUCCUCCAGCAGUGCCCGGACUUUCUGAUGCUGAGCAAGGACGAGCGUGAGGCUCUCCACUCUGCUUUGGACAAGACGCGAAAGACCCAAAAGUGUCAACGACGAAGAUGCCAGCAAAGCCGGGAACGAAAAUGAAGGCGACUCAAUCAUGAAACGCAGAAGCAACAAGCAAACGAGCCACGUCUGUCGGGCGCUGUGCGAAAAGGAAGCACUUUCGUCUGAAGCGUCAAAUUCCGAGCGGGUCUUUCUGCAUAUCAGCUGGAUCGCGGAACCCGCUCUCGAAUCCGGUACCAGCCUUUCUCUUUCUUUUCCUCGUUCGCUGCGUUUGUUUUCCUCUGCUCCAAAAUCUUUUCACCCUUUUCGCCGUGUCAGUACACAAUCUGUUUUUUCUCAUUCAGUGCCACCUGAGAACGACUGGUUCUCCGGCAUCGACUUUCGUGCAUUCUUCUGAUUCUCCGCGGGCGACGCUGUCUACCUUCUGAAGUCGCGUCUAACUCUUGCACCUUUUUCUUUUGCAUCAUCCCCGUCGUCGAAUUCUCCGCCGUGUCGUGGCACUUCCCCGCAACACGACAUCUGACUUGGUGUCGGCGAUUCUCGCGAACCUAACCCCGAUACGUCGUUCUUGACGUACUGUCCACUAACAGACUCGUCGCAGCCACUGCUGCGGUAAUCGUUGUGUUUAGAUAGCAGUCGACCUUUCCUUUUGCACCUCCGAAAGCUAAACCCGUAGUCCAACUGAGAGUCGUCUUCUCUUUCUGCUCUUACGUUAUGCCGAGAACGAUCCCAGAUUUCCCUGACGUCGAAGAUCUAAAACAGUAGUCCAACUACCACCUCUGGUUCUUUUUUCUCUUCGGACCUCCACUGACAACGACUGCCUGCACGCGUGGGGGGCUAGCGAGGAGCGGUCCUUUGGUGUUGCUCAUUUGCUCGAACUCGAUGCCACCUUUCUCAGGAGAUCGGACUUGCGCUACCAUCUUCGUGCGAGUGUAAGGAGCACUGUCUGCAGCGAGAGGUGGGGGUGGCAGGCGAAGGGGAGUGAGCACCGUUUUAAAUUCUUGGCCCUUUUCAGAAACCGCGAACGGUGCAUGUCCCCCCACUGUUUUUGCCGCUUGUACAAACCCGCCUUGGUCUCGAGAUACCGGAAAUGAAGGGGGUACGUCGCUUUCUUCGAUCUCCCCAAGAAGGAAAAGUGAAUCCUUGGCUUUUUCUAACGGUCCGGGUUCCUCCGGUCGCCUGCCCCUCGGCGGCAGCGCGAGUAAAGGCUUGCCACCAGUUCGAUCGACUGGCCGUGCAGAGACUUCUGCGUCCUUGGUGAAAAUGGAGGACGAAGUCGGGUUUCCCCUAUCACCAAAACCCGCGCUUUUGCUAGCGUCUAACUGAAUCUCGUGUCUGGCGCGAACUGGGUCCAGAAGGUACCCUCCACCGGAGAGGUCCCCUCGAACAGCUAUCUUUGGGGGCGAGUCCAACUCUGGAGAAUUCUCGACAGCCCGAAGCAAAGGCGCCUCCGUUGCAGACUUUUCGAACUGUGGCAUCGGAACACCUUGAAAAGAAGGUACAGGAGGCUGAGGAGGACGCUGCAUAGCAGGAGUAGGUCUCACGGUUUGGCCAUUGAUUACACUUACUCUUUCUACUUGGAGUCCUGUUCGUUUUCCGUCAAACUCUCUGGUCUCCUCUUUCCCCGUCCAUGCCAAGUCAGGAGGCAAGCGCUGUGGACUGUUUUCGUACCGCGUCUGAGGCGGAGGAGAAGGGGCUGAGGAGGCAGGUAUAGGCGCAGGAGCUCGAGCUUGUCGCUCUCUCACAAGAACCGGAACGCCUUCUAGUUCGUCUCGAUUUCGAGCGUUUUGAUUCUCCAGUGGGGGCAGCGGCGGUGUUCGGAUUGCCGCGGUACGUGAAGGCAGUGAGAUGGCUCGUGCGUCUUCAAACUCAUCUCGUUCUUCCCCCCUGUCUAUCCACUCUGUCUCGGUGUCGCCGAGGACCCCUUUCCUCCCCGUCGACCUCUCAUACGUUUCCUUCCGUUCUGCGCGGAGAGGCACAGGUUGCGUCGGAGGCGCUGGGGGAAGGGAUCUUUCUCCAGUUUCGAAACCCGAGGACGAUGGUAAGACGCCCACGGGACGACGGAUUUCAAAGGGAGGAGGACGUUGGGCUCUUUGCGGCGCCCGCUCUGGAAGCGGUACUUCGUCCGGAGGUUCCGGUGCACUCCGAGGAAAUUCGGUUUUUUCUGGCGGACGCAUCGGAAAAGGAUCACCUGGAGGGCCUCGAGCGGGGAGUGGUGAGCUAAAUUGAGGAAGAACGGGGGGCGGCGUUGGUCCUCGUGGUGUGUUACCUGGACUUCUUCUGCGCGGAAUCGCCUGUGGGGCUGGCAGAUAGAUUCCUCCUUCGAAGCUGUCAAGUUCUUCACUCGACGCAUACUCAGAAUCGAAGUCGUUUUCGAAGAACGUCUCCGAGGAGCACUCGAGGCAUUCUGUUGAGAAACCUUCUUCUCCGGAAAGCGGACCAGCGCUUCUCCCCUCCAGAACGCUGUAUGCGGCAUACUCUCUAUCCGGAAAGCUUUUGGUCUGCCGGUGAACCCCAAGAAUCGGCCCCCCCCAGUCUCUCUCCCUUGAAGUGCCUGGAGGAGGGCGAGGAGCGGAACGAGGCACGUUCCUCGGAGUCAUUAACUCGGGUCUGGGUGACUCUUCGGGUCUUCUUGCGCCUCCCCUGGGUCUUUCUUCCUGAAAAUCAACCGGAAGGCCGGGACCGACCCGAGUUGGAGGAGCAUCCCCUCGGGUAGAUCGUGAGUUGUCAAAAUAUCGCCGAUCCUCCGGCCCCAAUUGUCCAUACUGCGCCUGCCUUUCCUCCAUUGCCAUCUCAACUUCGUAUUCAAGACGACUGCGAGCAUACCUCUCACUUCUCGCUUCGAGCAGCUCUUCCGCGCGUGGUCCUCUUUGCUCUCCACUUGGCCUCGUCAGGCGGUUUCCACGCGUUUCCAGAAGGACUGUGUCCUCGGGGGGGAUGGUAUCUUCGGGAAUUGUCUCUUUGGAUGGCCCUGAACCGCUGACAAACGGGGCUGGGAAACGCGGACGCUCUUUGCUUGCUGGCCGCGGCGGUGUUGGAGGCGGCAGAUCCUCCAGGGCAGCAGUCUGCGGAGGCUGUGAAAAUCUCGGGCGAGGUUGCCCCUCGAAACUUGCCGAAGGCGCUUCGCUGUCAAAGGGCGGAAACGGAGGAGGGUAGUAGGGCGGCCGAGGUUGAGGCGGAUACGGCUGCGCUGGGGGUCUACGUGGCGGAUUCGGUUCCGGUGGAUGACUCGGUCCCGGCCGCGGCGACUCAUCAGGAGGCACAUACGUCGGUGGCCGAGUAUAUCUCACAGGCCUCCGCGUCGUCGUUGUAGUGCUCGGUGGAAAAGGAAUCGUAGGCGGCGAAGGAUACUUGGGUGAGGGGUAAGGAAGUGCUGGGUAGCCCGGAGGAUACUGCCACUUUGGAGGAUAGUCCGGAGGCACGCCUGGGGGAUAGUACGGCGGGGGGUAAGGCUGCCCACCUGGAGGAGAAGGGUAAGGCCACGGGUCGGGCGACGACGGCGGAGGCGAAGGAUUGGUAGGUCCCGGCGGUCGAGCAUCCGGAGGAGUAUAACCUGGAGGACGCGUGUAUUGUGGUGGCGGUCGCGUGGCUGUUUGCGUUGGAUCAGAGCGGAGAGCAACAGGAAAAUUUUCCGAACUCGUCCUGCUAGCUGUAGGGACCGGGCCGAUGUGCCUGUCGGCAGAGUCAAACCUCGCAGUGUUUGCGGACAUCUCUGGAGCGUUAUUCGACCCGCUGUAGUCACCUGAAUCGGAUUCAGGUAUUUGUGCUGACCGACCGUUCCCCUGAGGUGAAGAAACGGAAUUAGCACCCUCCCUAAUUUUCCCUAUGGACCGCCGUUCGGGCGGGAGAUACUGGGACGGCCUCGUGAAUCGCACAGGUCGUGUCGUGUGGAAAUCGUCAAAUGGGAUCGGUACAGUGCUUGUCGUUGUGCUACUCGGGCGGCGUCUUUGGGUUCGAGCCGGCAGCCAUUCGGUUUCCGGUGAAGGGAAACCCGAUGUCAUAUCGCGCGCUGCGGGGAAGACACCAACAGGCGGACGUGUUGGCUGUGCCAGGGACAAUCCGGGUGUGGCCCUGGGUCUUUCCAUCGGAGACUCCGCCGGGAUAACGCCAUCACCUGCCGCAGCUCCACUUUCGAUUCGAUAUUCAUAAGGCAGUGGGCUGGCAUGCCUCUCGGCCUCUCGCUGGUCUACCUCAGGGGUGGUGUCGGGGCGAGCAUAGUAAGUUUCCACUGGGACAUGAGGAACGUGAUUUGAAGGGAGUAACCCGGAAACGUUACCGGGUGUGACUGUCGGGGAAGGGUCGGUCGCAGGCUUAGCCGGUGAAGACUGUGGCUCGUUGUUCACACCAGGCGACUGCAAUGGCGUUUGGGGGGAACCAGGAGCCGGCGGAACAGGACUUGACGCUCUAGAACGAUAAGUUGAGAAAUCUUCCUGCGGUGUCUUUCCCCGCUUCUCUUGGGUUCCAGGAGGAGCAAACUGCCCUCGUGACCUCUGAGGACCAAUGCCUGGCGGCGGCCGAGACCGUGGGCGGUAGGGAGCAGGUUGAUUUCUGCCUUCCGUCAGGGGCGGUCCCGGCUGGGUGGAGUUUGUCCGUUCGUUGUAGUAAGCGCCAGGAGUUGUACCACGGGGAUCAAAGGGAGCAAAAUAAUCAUACGCCGAAGCAAAAGCUGGGUCGUAAUACGGAGCCCCAAAAGGCGGUGGACCGAAAUCCAGAGGGGGCGGAGGAAAAUCCCAGGUGCCAGGAGGAUAGGGGUAUCGAAGCUGUGCUUCAGAUUGUGCUCCUGCCUCUCUGCGGUGGCUAUUUGAGUCACGAGGUGCGUUUUCUGUUUUCUCCGAAAAAUCCGAGGAAGCCUCACGGUCCGUGCGCUCUUCCCCGGAAGGCUGUGGCCCUUGACGUGCACGAGGAUCCGGCGGCCUCGGGGGUCGGUCAUGUGCCUGCUUGUUGGGCGCAAGCGGUGGAGGAUGGAGAGGAUAUGGAGGGGCAUUUGUGUCGGGAGGGACGGGGUAGUACGUGGGAUAAGGAGGUGCUCUCCGUCGUCCACGUGCCGGCGGGUCAGUAGGGCUAGACGACGGGCUGUAUUGUCGUUCGGUUUUUGUUGGAGUCACGGCUGUCUCUGCCGCCGCAGGCUGGGGCGGAAAUGAUCCGAUGGUCAAACUCUUUCUCGGCGAGCCAGCAACGGGAUCCAAAGCCGCAGGGGAGGGGAAUGACACAAUUUCGUUUAAGGAAGAACUCCUGGCCCGUCCAUGAGAAGCGGUGCGCGAGUUUUGAACUUGUUUCUUGGGGCCCGCUGGCAGAGGGUUAUUACCCAUGCGAGCUGGUGACCGGUUUACAGAGAGGUCGUCCGCUGCUUUAGGUGACGGGGGGACGAAAUCUGGACUAUGUUCUGCAGUUCGUUGCCUUCGAGGUAAAUCUCGUUUGAGAGGGCACUCUGUCAGCAGUUGUUGAUGGCAGAGGUAGGCCAGGUACUUUUCGACUCCGGCGCGAAUUAACAUAGCCUUCGGGACUAUGCCGAUCGCCUCAAUGAACUCAACAAGGAUGCGGUCAAAGUCUUCGUUGGAAACAUGAGAUAUCCUCUCCAAUAGAAUAUCUUCCAGUUCGACAUCAGCGUACCGAGUACCUUUCCAACUUUCAUCCCGCGUUGCAGCGUCACCACGGAAAAUCUGGUCGUGGGCAUCUGUGAGGAACUGCUCCACAGCCCGGAUCAUCUCCGCAUCCUCCACUAAUCCAGCCGCUUUGUCUGCCACGAGCAGGUCCAUGCGGCCCGUGAAAGCCUCUGCGCUUUUGUAUUUGUGGGCUGCCCACGCGGCAGCCACUGAACCUGCCCGAGAGUUUGCUAAUACGAAAAUACACAGGAAAAGAAAGUGCAAAAGCGUCCAGAAAAAGGAAGGAAAAAGUUGGAACCCACGUAAAAAAACACGAGACUGUUGCUUUACGUACCGCGAAGGUCCUCUGUUGGUGGCAGAAGCAGUCAUUUCGUAUGACGAUAUGGGUGGUCUUUCUUUGACACGCGAACACUCCGUUAUUGUUCUCAAAUGGCGAAGACGGUGUUUGGCGUGUGAGAUCUGCCGCAUUUACCAUUUUUGGGAUUCUAUAGCACUGUUUAUUGGACGUGUAUGUAUAACCAGACUGCCAGUGACUAUAAGUGACAUGUAACGCUCGGAUGUUGGAAUGAAGAGCAGUAUUUCAAGUCUCUAUCUGCUGAGACCGGAGGACCUCUCGUGUGAAAGCAGGGCUACCAUAUCUCUGUGUCUCUUUAUCUUUCCCUGAUGUUAUAUCUUUCUGUCUCCAUCUCUUCCAUUUCCAGGUGUAUCUCCUCACCUCUCUUCCUCUGUGUGCACCUCUGUCUCCCUUCAUUCUCGCAUGAGUUCAGGCACACACAGGCGUGCGUGACUAUUAUGUGUCUAAUAUGCAUACACCUACGUAUACACGAGCAGUGUACUGGUAAUUAACAUGUAAAUGUGCCAGUUCUAUACAUAUAUGUAACCUUAUCAGUUCACUGACGAUACACGACUAUCUCAGAGUCUUAAAAAUAC
rnacentral:lncRNA from 1 species